rnacentral:rRNA from 1 species
AGCGAACGCUGGCGGCAGGCCUAACACAUGCAAGUCGAACGAACUCUUCGGAGUUAGUGGCGGACGGGUGAGUAACACGUGGGAACGUGCCUUUAGGUUCGGAAUAACUCAGGGAAACUUGUGCUAAUACCGAAUGUGCCCUUCGGGGGAAAGAUUUAUCGCCUUUAGAGCGGCCCGCGUCUGAUUAGCUAGUUGGUGAGGUAAAGGCUCACCAAGGCGACGAUCAGUAGCUGGUCUGAGAGGAUGACCAGCAACACGGGGACUUAGACACGGCGCAGGCUCCUACGGGAGGCAGCAGUGGGGAAUCUUGCGCAAUGGGCGAAAGCCUGACGCAGCCAUGCCGCGUGAAUGAUGAAGGUCUUAGGAUUGUAAAAUUCUUUCACCGGGGACGAUAAUGACGGUACCCGGAGAAGAAGCCCCGGCUAACUUCGUGCCAGCCGCCGCCGUAACAC